AAUUGCGGAGGUCCUCUUCGAGGAUUGGCUGUCCACUCAUAACCAUAAGAUAAUUAAAACAAGGGGGGGGCAGGGUUAAAAAAAACUUUUUAUCAGCCAUAGGUCAAUACAAGUGUUUAACAGAUGUUUCACUAUUAAAAUAUUUACUCCCCCCACCCCCCAUACAGAAGACUCUCAGAGCAGUGUUUUGUAGGUAACUGAGGCAGAACACGGAGCAGGCAGCUUCCUGCCUUUUGUGCUGGUCCGGGGAUAGGGGAGGAAAGGGGUGCUGGUGGCGGCGGCGACCAGAGUCUGGAGGUGGCGGUGUGGCUCCCCCAUUAAGCAACCCGAACGGAGAUCUUGAAGGUUUUCGAAGCGGGGCACCCCGAUUUCUCGAACCUGUGGUGUGGCGAGUACCCGUGUUCCGCUGGUUUAACUAGCCUGUUUGAAGGCACUCAGUUCAUGCUGGAGCAAGUACACCCUCUUCACCUCUAGGGGGUCUUUUCUUUCUGUCUGCAGAAGUGUGUGACUUCAGAAAGAAACUCUCGGUUGGCCAAGGUACACCUCAGAUUAGACCCCAGGUAAAAGAGCAGAGGUGGAGGGCUCCUGCCGUCAGUCUCUGGCGAGAGCGCCCCUAGCGCCAUUUUACUGUCUCUGCCCUUGACGCUUCCCUUUGCAAGGACGUUCCAAAGCCGGUCAAAGGCUACAAAGGUAUCACCUCCAAACCUUGAGCUUUCAAUGCUCAACCUGGUUGGAAUUUUAGCUCAGGGCUAGAUCAGACUGCUAUUUUCCACGACAGAAGGGGAGCGGUGGCACGGAUGCUGGAGGCAAACGGACUCCCACGUUGUCACCAAAUGUUUGUCUAGCCAACCUCUUUGACAAAAGGCCCACCUCCCCAAGCUAGCGAACACUUCCCUGUUACCUCUAGGUCUUUCUACUUUACAGGAGGACUUCCGGUUACGUUUACCCUCCUGCGCCCAUAUCCAGCCUCUCAUUGUUUGAGCUUUUUGGUAGGGGCAUGGAUGCACUUUUGUAGUUCGUUGGGCACAGAUCUGUCAGUCCGCGUGUCCUGUAAGAACACAACUAAUGCUUUGCACAAAAAGAUGCUCUCAAAGCUGGUGGGAAGACGAUUCAGAGAAACUCGGUGUGAAUGUGUGUGUGUGUGCAUGUGUGUGUGCGUCUAAUUGCAAUCAGGUUGUUUUAUUUUAUUUUGAAGGCCAUUAGAGCUGGUAAGCGACUUGGAAGUCAUUUGAAAAGGAACAGACCUUCAAUCCCAAGCCUUGUGGGCACUGGGGAAGUGUCUUCCAAAUCUAAAACUGGCUUUCAUGCUGCACGACCAACCCUGACCUGGCUUCUCUGGUAUCCAUCCCAACCACCCCAAACUCAAGAGUUAGAGGUAGCCAGGGCUGCCUCAACACUCCACCACCAUGGCCAGUUUUCUGUGCCUUGGUUUCUCUCUCCAUUGAAACAGUGGUGGAAAUAAAUCAGGUCUAGGGCUUGUCAGCCAGAUUAAAAACGAUCAAGGGGCCCUCAAGAGAGUUGCCAGAAUAGCAGGCUUCGUUCAAUAAUUAUUCACGUAUUUUCCUCCUGCCUCUUAGCAUUUUUUUUAAUAUUUAUUUAUUUUUAUUUUAAAUUUCGCUCCGGACCUAUCUGCCCUGAAGACCCAUCUUGGCAGCCUUGGGCGUCAGCGGGCCCAGCGCACCCUGCCCGUGCGGCCUAACUCUGGUCUUCCGUAGGAUCGUGCCUUGUUGGUCUCUGCCUCGUUGGCCUCGUGCAAGCAGCGUAAGACCCAGUCUCAGGGGAGACCGCCGAGUCCCCAGUGGCCCCAACGCUGCGGAAAGAGACCGGUGGAGCAGGGGGGUGACGGAGCUGCUAAAGACGCACAGACCUCCUGCGGUCCAGGCCCCGGGAAAGGUGCUGGGUCUCCUCCCCUCCCUUCUGGCCAAAUUCUCAUUUUAUCUGCAUGCCCCUUUGUGGGGCGGACAGGAGAAGGCAAGUCCACCACAUUCAGGUCAGGAGAGAACUUCGCGCGGGUUCCUUCCCCCAGCGCCCCUUCGGACACUUUUCGCCCGAUGCGGGCAGGAAGGGGUUAACCGCGCCGCGUCUCUUGCUCGCCUGGGAGCCCAGGGUGCUGAAGGAAGGCCACGGCUCCCCUCAGCAACCCCGGACUCAUUAAGGCAAACCCUCGCCGCUAUUUUCAACAUUUCCUCAAUCAAGUGCCCUGAAAUAGAGCUGCACAAACAAAUUGGCGGCAAAAGCGUAGAUCUUGUCAGGACGGAGGCGAAUCCAACGUUUCAGCCUUGUUUGCUUUGCAAUUACGGGCUUGGCUUGUGCCCGUGGUGCCACCGGGGCAAAUUUGCUGCCGCCCGCUGACUCCUCUGCACUGGGAGCGGCUGGAGGAAGCGACCCGCCGGGCCACUGCUGAGAUGGGCGGCGCGGUUGGGGGAUGGGGGUGAAGGUGAGGGUGGGGAGGCGGGAGGACGGGGGUGGCCCGGUCGCUAGGGGCUGGCGGAGCCCUAGCCCAGCAGACCCCUGUGCAGAGGGCGUGCAGAGUAGUGUUAAAGACCGGCUUUCCAGGCUCCUGGCUGAGCUACCAAGGUAUAGGCAACAGUAAUAAAAUGUAGACUCCACAUGUGGACACCAGCGUUGUUUCUUGAGCAUCCUUCUUGUCUCCCCACGCUCCCGCCCCUCCGCGUCUCUUCCCCUCUCUCCGGCCCUCUGAACAUUUUCUUUCAGUGCGUGUCAGCGGUUGCUGGACUUCCCCCUGCUCCUUCACUGUUAAACUGCUAGCAUGAUUUGUUGUAUUUGCCAUUGCUGUUUGUUCUUGUUUGACUUUUUGUACAGAGUUAGUUUAAAUCUAUUACAAGAACCAAACCCCAAGUUCCUAGGACAGGCUUUUCCACACUUGCUGUCGGGGGCUUCUAGCUCGAUUUUCUUUCCUUCUGGGGUAGCCUCUAAGCGCCCUGGGGAGGAGGGAGGCCUUCCCGCGCUGGGAGCCUCACUUGUGUCAGCGGAACAGCAGUUAAGUCAGUUCCUAAGCCUUAUAUUUCACAGACAAUUAACUCUUGGCUGCUGUUUAACGAAAUUGUAAUAUUUACUCUGCUCUAUACUGAGGAGCACUUUUGGAGUAAAAAAAAAAAAAAAGCAAAUAUUAUAUUUCAAACAGAAAAUACAAUAAUAAAUCUCUUUUUAUGGAUUCUCCCUGCAUAAGUGGAAACAACAUGAUUUAAGCCCCUCCGCUCCCUCCUUUCGAGAAGAGCUGGACCUGGAAGGCACUGUUAACCAACGCUGACUUCCAUCUCUGAAGGGGAGACACCUGCAUCCGAGGCUUCAUCCAGAUCUUUAUCACGUGGAACAAGGAUUAUCAAACAGUGAGGUCUUGGAUGCAAAGCUUACUUUUCAAGUGGAUUCAAGAAAGAGGGGUGUGACCAUUAGGUUCUAUGUGUCUUGUGUUAGUCAAGUAAAGAUGACGUCAGUAAUCAAAUUACAGAAUCUAAUCAAGUCUGAUCUUAGUUAUUCUAAAGACAAAGUUGGCGACGAGCCAUUGUUGGUGUAGAUUGAGAUGUCAAGCAGUCAUCUGAGUCCAUACAGCUGGUAAGUAGAAAAGUGGAGUUUAACAGCAGGGAGGUUCCAGCCAGCAGCUGAUUGAGGCAGAUGCUGGGACUUGCAGCCAAGUGCGGGCUGAGCUUCGGGGGUCCUGUGCAAGUGUUGGAGGAAAGAUGGAAGGACCUGGAGGUGACAGAAACCUCACAAGAAGACCAAUAGAGAUAACUAACCCAGUCCCAUGGGGGCUUACAGAGACUAAGACAUCAACCAAGGAACAUGCAUGGUCUGGACCUAGACCACCUGCACAUACGUGGACUAUGUGUGGGCAGCUUGGUCUUCAAAUGGGACACCUGGCGAGUGGAGGAGGGGGCUGUUUCUAACAUGGACUCUAUAUCCUGCUUUGGAUCACUUCCCCUUGGCAGGGCUGCCUUGCCUGGCCUCAAGGGAUGAGGAUAUGCUCAGUCCUGAUGUGACUUGAUGUGCUGGGGAGGGUUGAUAAAGGGGAAGGUGGUUUCCGUCUUUUGGGGCAAAAGGGAGAGGGGAAGAGAGAAGAAGGGGAAGGGAGGACUUGGAGGAGAGCAGGGAGGGACAUCCUUGGGAUGUAAAGUAAAUAAAUUAAUAAUAAAAUUGAAAAUAA